rnacentral:rRNA from 1 species
CCCUUAGAUGUUCUGGGCCGCACGCGCGUUACACUGAUGCAUUCAACGAGUUCUUCCUUGGCCGAGAGGCCUGGGCAAUCUUUUGAACGUGCAUCGUGAUAGGGAUAGAUUAUUGCAAUUAUUAAUCUUGAACGAGGAAUUCCUAGUAAACGCAGUUCAUCAAACUGCAUUGAUUACGUCCCUGCCCUUUGUACACACCGCCCGUCGCACCUACCGAUUGGAUGGUCCGGUGAAGCCUCGGGAUUGUGGUUCUUGCCGCUUUAUUGUGGCGUGACCGCGAGAACUUGUCUAAACCUUAUCAUCUAGAGGAAGGUGAAGUCGUAACA